CUGGCCGGAACUGCUAGCCCUCGUCAAAAAGUUUGUUAUAAACCGUAUCAACAUACCUCAGAUGUUAAGACGUUUAUCAUAAAAUGUGCCGACGGCAUGAUUUUAGCAGCAGAUCCUAUGUAAUGAUUUAUAUCAAUAUGAGAACGUAUCGAAGUUACAAAAUUUAUUCGAAACUCGUGUCCGCGUCGAUCAGCGCUGGCGAAGAUCGGUAUCUUCACAAGCACAUGGGCGGUAUUUUCCAUGUGCGCGCGAACGUUCUGCAAUACUAAAUUUAAAUCGUUAUUACCAAAAAAUGACAAUACUUACCCCGUUGCAAAAAAUAGUACUUAAUAGAGCCGAUUUUUUUCUAUAGAAUUGAAUGUUUCCUGUAUUCCCAAGAAUACCUUCUCCAAAAAUCGCUGCUUGUUAAUCAGAUUAAAGUUAUCACUGCUAAAGGCAUAUUAUAACAGUGCCAACAUCAAGAUAUUUCAUUUAACCUUUGUCGGCCGACCGACAUUGAUCGUCUUUUUAAACCUCAAAAUCUUUUCAAAUCUGUGUCGCCGUUAUACAGAGCAUUAAAGUUCUUCUACGAAACCUUGUUAUGUAAUUUGUUAUCAAAAUCACAAUUUCUAUGCAAAAACAAAAAUCGAUCCUUUAAAGGAUCGGUCGUCUGUCAAGAAUUGUUCUCAAAAAGAAAAAUUGCAAAAAUGAAAAAAUUUCUCAAAUCAAACGGCGCUAACGUGACAAUUUGGAGGCAAAGCGUUAAUGGCAUCGCUCGAAUGUGUGAAACUGCACGCGGGGUUGCUUCAGUACUUUGGCUACAGACUAUGGUCACUAAAAGCUCCUUUUAUGCUGCUCAUGAUUGGCUGUGGAGCAGUUUCAUUGUUCACCACUAGUUUACGUUCAGCGCCGUUGCGCCCAAUUUGAUUUUGCCAGCUAGUUUCGGAAACGGGAUUUCUCGACUGUUUUAUAACAGCUUUCAAAACGAUUUCUUAGAAUUUUGUUUGGAUCUUUGACGUUGUUUUGUUUGGUGGCUGUCGACAGUCAGAUUUCGUUCUAAAACAUUAAUACAAACACUGCUAGUGUUGAUUAUUAUGCGUGGAACUGUGACGCACGGCAUGUUUGUGGAAGAAAGUGCGACCUCCAAUCCAGCCUGCAAUGCUGCGAGGACCCACAGCAAUUUUGGACUAGUUCUAGGAUCCUCAGGAGGCAGUGCUCAGCUGGACAAAUGUGCAUGAAGACAUGCAGUAAAGCAACAGGGCAGAUGGAGUACUGCUCUCCCGGUCCUUGGCCAGACGCGAAUCCUUCGAGAAGUGCGUGGAUGUCGACAUCCACAAUUGUGCUUGCCAUCGUCGCGAUAAUUAACUUGUGCAUUUAGUAGUCGCUAAUGCUAUCCAUGCUGGUUCGUUUGUAAUUUCUAUCAUUCUUGUCAGUUUUCCGUUUAUGCUUCUGGCGCAUUAUCGAAAUCUAUUUUUGUAUUUAAUUAUGUUGGUGUUUUCAUGAGAAAGUAUGUCUCGGAUGCUGGUUUUUUAUGCAAAACUUGUUAUGUCGUAUA